AAAGAAUUAGUUAAAUUAUAACAUAAAUAUGUCAAUUUUAAAUUAUUAUAUCAUAUUAAAUAAUAUUCUUUU
rnacentral:tRNA from 1 species